CCCCCCCCCCCCCCCCCCCCCCCCCCCCCCGGGGUGCCCUGACACCUGCUGCCUGUCCCCGCAGUCACUUGUGCGCCACCUGGGCUGGCCUUGGCCAGCGGACAUCCUGCACCCUCCUGCUAUAACCAGGGCACUGCGAGGGGGGCCACAACUGUGCCCCCCAACUCCACCGGGGGAGGGGUCUGGUGCCGGGACUCAGGGACAGCCCAGCCAGGCUGUCCCCUUCCUGCUGGUGACUGUGGGGAGAGGCCUCAGCCGUGGCCAUGCCCGGCCCCAGCCCCACACACCCAGCCCCAGACCCGUCACUGCAGCUGUUCCUGGCCAUCGCUGGAUCGUGGCUGACCCAGCUGCUGGCACCAAACCUGACCCUGCCUGGCUUGGCCUCGUCACCAGCGGAUUCCCCCGAUGGCUGGAACCGGUGCCUGGCUGCCACUGCGUGCCCAGCGCUGCUCAGGUACCUGCUUGCUGCCUCGAUCAGCUCACUGACAACGUCCAUGAAAUGAGCAUCACCAGGGCCUUGCACUGCUGGGCUGGGAUGAAACUGCUCGGCUCUCGUGAGAGCUCCAUGCUUAACUGAGGGAUGCCAGAGAUAACAUCACAAGCUGGGUGACCUGCUCGCACUGGACUUGGCAAAUAAGGGAACAGCUACAUCCUCUGCACCGGCUUAAUCCCCAGGAUGUCAAAGCCCUUGGCCAUGAUCACGGCAGUGGCCUCGCACAGCAGCAGCCUCCACAUGUUCACCUUCACGAUCUG